rnacentral:rRNA from 1 species
AGGUCUUGACAUCCCCUGCAAAGCUAUGGAGACAUAGUGGAGGUUAUCAGGGAGACAGGUGGUGCAUGGUUGUCGUCAGCUCGUGUCGUGAGAUGUUGGGUUAAGUCCCGCAACGAGCGCAACCCUUAUUGCUAGUUACCAUCAUUGAUUGGGGACUCUAGCGAGACUGCCAGUGAUAAACUGGAGGAAGGUGGGGAUGACGUCAAAUCAUCAUGCCCCUUAUGACCUGGGCUACAAACGUGAUACAAUGGCUGAAACAAAGGGCAGCGAAGCAGUGAUGUGGAGCGAAACCCAAAAAAGCAGUCUCAGUUCGGAUUGAAGUCUGCAACUCGACUUCAUGAAGGCGGAAUCGCUAGUAACCGCGAAUCAGCAGGUCGCGGUGAAUACGUUCCCGGGCCUU